AUGCAAGCACAGCGAAGACCCAAAAGUGCAGUGGAAUGGAUUCCUCGUUUUUCCGCUGGGUUUUUUUUUUUUUUCUUUUUUAGAAAAAAAAACACACGUGUGCUGCGUCUGUGCGGAGAGGAAGGGCCCAGAAUAAAUAGAACCGGGAGCUCAGGGGUCACAGUAUCACAGGCGCAGGGAGUUGCCAGCCGGGGCGCUCGCCCGGUUGCCCUGCAGCGGAGUGCCAGGCCGCCGUCGGGGGAGGGCGCGGACGGCCGAGGUCCCGCGGGGCUGGGCGGCGGGGGCUGGGCGGGUGGCGCCUCUGAACGGCCAGGGCAGCAGCGGGCGCUCGGCUCCGGUGGGCGGCUGCACGGAAGUUACUGCAGGAGACAAGAGGAGCAGCUGAGGGCGGGCGCACAGGGGGCCGGACCCCCACCCGCCGGGCCUGGCCCUGCGCCGAUGCUCAGGCCAGGGUCCCCUCGUGCCCAGAGGGCCAGAUACAGGCCCCAGGAUACUUACCCUGUGGAGCCACGGGCUGGCCCGCCCCUCCCGCCCCAGGCCUCAGUUUCCCCUCAGUUUCUGUCCCUGGGGCGUCUGGGGGCCGUGCUCUUGGGCCCUCUGCGGCCGAGGCCCGGGGUGGGGGCCGGGCUGGCGCACUUACUGUGUCGCUCUCGCCGUCGGAGGCCGGGCGGGCCGGGGCGCUAUAGUGGAGCGGGGAGUACACCCAGCUCCUCUCGUCGGUGGGCUGCAGGGCGGGCGGGCGCGUGCAGGAAGGGCGCAGAAGAAGAGCAGGGUGCGAGGAGGCGAGAGGCAGAGGGAGAAGGAAGAAACAGAAAUAAAAGAGGCGGACCCGACGCGGACAGUGGGCAGCGGCCUCUCCCGACGGGACCUGCGCCCACCCAGCGCCCGGUGCGGCGGGCGGGGACGGGUCUGCGGCGGAGCAGGUGGCGGCAGGAAGCCGGGAGUCACAGCAGGGCGGGCGCAGCGUGGCAGGAGGGGCAGGGGCCGGGCCUCCUCUGCCGUCCUCUCUCCCCACCGCCCCCUCCGCCCACGGGGACACCCCGGCCCCGCGGAUCCUACUGGGGCAGGACCCUUGGGACCCUCCCAGGGUGUCCUGGGUGGGGGAUGGAGCCCAUCUCUCCAUGGCCUGGAGACCUUUCACGACUUGCUCAGGGGAGACCGAGGCAUAGGCUACCGAGGGAGCCAGCAGCAGAGGCCUCCCCACCCCCUCCAAGAGCCCGGGGACGCUGUCCUGGGACGCGGGUGCAGCAGGGACCCAGGUCCAGGCCUGGGACAGGCAGACCCGGGUCUGGCCGCCGAGGGGCCGCCCUGAGCCUGGGCAGGGGGGUGCCCGGCCUGGGUGAAACUGUGGGGAGGACGCACGUUCCUCCAGACCCACCCUGUCCCUCCCGAGACCCUCCCGGGCCCUGGAGGCGUCCUGGGGCCUCCCCCUCAACCCCCUCAGCCUGGGGACCACUCCCCCAGCUGGCCGGCCUCUGCCUGGAGAGGGGCCUGGGCACAUACCUGCCCUGGCCACAUCCCCUGAGCAUCCCUUGGCCCCUAAACCCAUGA
rnacentral:lncRNA from 1 species